UACGAACGGUCCAAACGUUAUUCGGAAUCACUGGGCUUAAAGCGUCCGUAGGCGGCUCGGAAAGUAGGGUGUGAAAUCCCACGGCUCAACCGUGGAAUUGCGCUCUAAACUAUCGAGCUAGAGGGAGAUAGAGGUGAGCGGAACUGAUGGUGGAGCGGUGAAAUGCGUUGAUAUCAUCAGGAACACCGGAGGCGAAGGGCGGCGUCACUGGGGUCUUUUCUGACGCUGAGGGACGAAAGCUAGGGGAGCGAACGGG
rnacentral:rRNA from 1 species